UACGGAGGGUGCAAGCGUUAUCCGGAUUUACUGGGUUUAAAGGGUGCGUAGGUGGGCAGUUAAGUCAGUGGUGAAAUCUCCGGGCUUAACCCGGAAACUGCCAUUGAUACUAUCUGUCUUGAAUAUCCUGGAGGUGAGCGGAAUAUGUCAUGUAGCGAUGAAAUGCUUAGAUAUGACAUAGAACACCCAUUGCGAAGGCAGCUCACUACGGGAUUAUUGACACUGAGGCACGAAAGCGUGGGGAUCAAACAGG
rnacentral:rRNA from 1 species